rnacentral:rRNA from 1 species
GACGAACGCUGGCGGCGUGCUUAACACAUGCAAGUCGAACGGAAAGGCCCUGCUUUUGUGGGGUGCUCGAGUGGCGAACGGGUGAGUAACACGUGAGUAACCUGCCCUUGAAUUUGGGAUAACUUCAGGAAACUGGGGCUCAUACCGGAUAGGAGCUCCUGCUGCAUGGUGGGGGUUGGAAAGUUUCGGCGGUUGGGGAUGGACUCGCGGCUUAUCAGCUUGUUGGUGGGGUAGUGGCUUACCAAGGCUUGGACGGGUAGCCGGCCUGAGAGGGUGACCGGCCACAUUGGGACUGAGAUACGGCCCAGACUCCUACGGGAGGCAGCAGUGGGGAGUAUGGCACAAUGGGCGGAAGCCUGAUGCAGCAACGCCGCGUGCGGGAUGACGGCCUUCGGGUUGUAAACCGCUUUGGCCUGUGACGAAGCGUGAGUGACGGUAAUGGGUAAAGAAGCACCGGCUAACUACGUG